rnacentral:rRNA from 1 species
UACGUAGGGUGCAAGCGUUAAUCGGAAUUACUGGGCGUAAAGCGUGCGCAGGCGGUUUUGUAAGUCUGUCGUGAAAUCCCCGGGCUCAACCUGGGAAUUGCGAUGGAGACUGCAAGGCUAGAAUCUGGCAGAGGGGGGUAGAAUUCCACGUGUAGCAGUGAAAUGCGUAGAGAUGUGGAGGAACACCGAUGGCGAAGGCAGCCCCCUGUGUCAAGAUUGACGCUCAUGCACGAAAGCGUGGGGAGCAAACAGG